UACGGGGGAGCAAGCGUUGUUCGGAUUUACUGGGCGUAAAGGGCGGGUAGGCGGCCACCGCAAGUCAGUUGUGAAAUCUCCGGGCUUAACCCGGAAAGGUCAACUGAUACUGCGGGGCUAGAGUGCAGAAGGGGCAACUGGAAUUCUCGGUGUAGCGGUGAAAUGCGUAGAUAUCGAGAGGAACACCUGCGGCGGAGGCGGGUUGCUGGGCUGAUACUGACGCUGAGGUGCGAAAGCCAGGGAGCGAACGGG
rnacentral:rRNA from 1 species